rnacentral:piRNA from 2 species
GAUAGCUCAGUUGGUAGAGCGGAGGACU